UACGAAGGGGGCUAGCGUUGCUCGGAUUGACUGGGCGUAAAGGGCGCGUAGGCGGUUCGUACAGUCAGACGUGAAAUUCCUGGGCUCAACCUGGGGGCUGCGUUUGAUACGUGCGGACUUGAGUGCGGAAGAGGGUCGUGGAAUUCCCAGUGUAGAGGUGAAAUUCGUAGAUAUCUGGAGGAACACCGGUGGCGAAAGCGGUUCACUGGCCCGACACUGACACUGAGGUGCGAAAGCGUGGGGAGCAAACAGG
rnacentral:rRNA from 1 species